rnacentral:rRNA from 1 species
UACGGAGGGAGCUAGCGUUGUUCGGAUAUACUGGGCGUAAAGCGCACGUAGGCGGCGCCGUAAGUCAGGGGGGAAAUCCCGGAGCUCAACUCCGGAACUGCCCUUGAAACUGCAGUGCUAGAAUCUUGGAGAGGCGAGUGGAAUUCCGAGUGUAGAGGUGAAAUUCGUAGAUAUUCGGAAGAACACCAGUGGCGAAGGCGACUCGCUGGACAAGUAUUGACGCUGAGGUGCGAAAGCGUGGGGAGCAAACAGG